rnacentral:rRNA from 1 species
AAUCUGCCUACCAGUGGGGGAUAACUAACCGAAAGGUUAGCUAAUACCGCAUGAGGCCACAAUGUCUGCGGACAAAGGGGUGAAAGAUUUAUCGCUGGUAGAUGAGUUUGCGUGGGAUUAGCUAGUUGGUGGGGUAAUGGCCUACCAAGGCAACGAUCUCUAACUGGUCUGAGAGGAUGGCCAGUCACACUGGAACUGAGACACGGUCCAGACUCCUACGGGAGGCAGCAGUAGGGAAUAUUGCGCAAUGGGGGAAACCCUGACGCAGCGACGCCGCGUGAGU